rnacentral:lncRNA from 1 species
GAAAGCAGUGAAAGGCUGGAGACUGAUGGAGGUGUUGCUGUGGCCAUUUCUGCAAGCCCGGUGUCCUCAUGGUCCAAACGCAGCCUCCGCCAUGACCCCCAAGCUGCACCUUCAGGCCCUGCUGGCCCCACCUUUAGAAGGACUCCUCACCGUUACUACUUGAAGACAGACCACAGGGACAAAUCCGUCUUCAAGGUCCUCAUCUUGACAAUGGCCACGUCAUCUCCAGAGUCUUCCAGAGAGUUUGGUGCAAGCCACCUGCUUUUGUCUGUAAUCUUUGAAGACCUGGUGCAAUCUCCCGUGGUGUGGUGUCUACCUGGAUUCAGCAAAAUUCGCCCAGCUGGACCUGCAGCAGAUGCCACGUGUUGGGCGUCUUCCACAUGAUCAGCAGGCACACGGCAAGAAAGCUGCCUACACGGACCCCACACGGUGUUAGGACAGAUGCCUUGUGAUCUCUAUGUCUCGUGUGACCCUCUAUCACACAAACUGGCUUUAAUCUCAGAAUCUGGGGUCAGGGAGAGUCACACAGCCUUCACGUUAGAAGUGAAUGGGAUCCACAGAGCCUACUGCCAGAAACGGAAGACACCCUGCUGUCCAGGUGCACAGCUGCCCAGCAAGGCCCCACUCAGAGGCACGAAGCUCCUGUGGCAUCUUAGAUGCCUCCCAAGCUUCAAAGCGGGACAGGCCUAGAGCAUCACGCAUGGCUCCACUGAAGCCAGAGCUCCCAGGACCCAGGUCCCUCUGAGGGAUGGCCCAGAGAGAAAGCAACGCAGCCACAUGGCCCUGGUCCCACUACAGUGAUCACAGAGGUCCAAAAGGGGCAUUUCUCUUCUCUUUGUGUCUUCAUGUUCCAUCUAGUGAAUAUGUCAUCCUCAUUC